ACGAACGCUGGCGGCGUGCUUAACACAUGCAAGUCGAACGGAAAGGCCUCUUUCGGGGGGUACUCGAGUGGCGAACGGGUGAGUAACACGUGAGUAACCUGCCCUUGACUUUGGGAUAACUUCAGGAAACUGGGGCUAAUACCGGAUAGGAGCUCCUGCUGCAUGGUGGGGGUUGGAAAGUUUCGGCGGUUGGGGAUGGACUCGCGGCUUAUCAGCUUGUUGGUGGGGUAGUGGCUUACCAAGGCUUUGACGGGUAGCCGGCCUGAGAGGGUGACCGGCCACAUUGGGACUGAGAUACGGCCCAGGCUCCUACGGGAGGCAGCAGUGGGGAAUAUUGCACAAUGGGUGGAAGCCUGAUGCAGCAACGCCGUGUGCGGGAUGACGGCCUUCGGGUUGUAAACCGCUUUCGCUCAUGACGAAGCUUUGUGUGACGGUAGUGGGUAAAGAAGCACCGGCUAACUACGUG
rnacentral:rRNA from 1 species